GACGUCAUAUAAGUACGUAGUGCAUCUCCCAACAGUUAGGCUAGUUUGAAGACUGAUCAUUCACACAGCAAAAAAUAAUAUGUGGGCAAUUACAAAAGUAUGGAAUUAACAUUAUGCAGUGGAAAAACACCAGUUGUGGUCUUCUAGAAGCAAAGCUGCGUCCAGUGUAUCUCUGUCUUAUAGUAUAUGCGUUUUCAAAACGGAAAGUUCCAGCUGCAGAUUUAACUCACAUUGAAGUGUUGAAUAAAACACAGAGAGAAUCUACAGCAACAUUAGACGACAGUCUCUGAUGAUAUCCGAUUCUAUAAGACCUGAGUCUGUUUGUUAAAAUGGUGGAUUCUAUGAGACCUGAGUCUGUUUGUUAAAAUGGUGGCCAACGACCAUAUCAUAAGGCGAAGUACUAAGAACUGCACAGACUAAAUGGAUUACUUUAGGGAUCAAGAAGACAACAUUUUGACAAUGUAAU